UUUGGUCCUUACCCCUCAGUCAUGGUCUAUUGACUUUGAAACUUUUGCUUAAUUUUCAUGUAUUAGUUUGUGAUUAGGUCAGUUUAAGAUGAACCACUAAUGUUAAGUCAAUGAUAUUUGGUAUGCAAAUGUAUUGGCAUUUGCAAGUUUUAUUUCCAUGGAGAUUAUAUAACCCCACCACCCUCAUUAUGGUUCAUUGACUUUGAAACUUUAGCAUAGUUUACAAGUUAAUGUUUGUGUUUAGGUUUGUUUAAAGGGAACAACUUAUGAUAAGUCAAUGGUAUUUGGUAUGCUGUUGUAUAAGCAUUUGCACAUCUCAUUUCCAUGGAGAUUGUUUAGCCCUGUACCUUCAGUCAUGGUUCAUUGACUUUGAAUAUUUGCAUAACUUACAUGUUAAAGUAUUGCUAUUUCAAUUUCAACAUUUGCAUUAUCAAAAUCACAAAUAGGCGAGACAUAUCGCUGUGUUAACAGUUUAUUUUAGUUGUCAGUUACUCACCAUCAGUUGGCUACAAGCAUGUGUUUGAGUUGUCAGUUACUCACCAUAUGAUUGCUACCAUUUCAGUUACUCACGAUAUGAUUGCUAUCAUUUCAGUUACUCACCAUAGGUUGGCUACCAGCAUGUGAUUGAGUUGUCAGUUACUCACCAAAUGUUGUCUACCAGCCUCUGGUCGAGUAGUCAGAUAUUCACCAUAGAUUUUAGCUUUACACAGAACACUUUAGUUUCCUCAAAUGUAACUGAAAGCCAUGAAAUUUUAGAAAUAUUACUCAAGCAUUCCCCAGAAAUCUUUUGAUAGAUAAGGUGUUGACUAAAAAGAUUGUGGUCAUGAAUUUUGAAGGAUUAGGGGUUAACUGAAAGGAUGAUGGUCAUGAAUUUUGAAGGAUUAGGGGUUAACUGAAAGGAUGAUGGUGAUGAAUUUUGAAGGUUUAGGGGUUGACUUAAAGGAUGAUGGUCAUGAAUUUUGAAGGUUUAGGGGUUGACUGAAAAGAUUGUGGUCAUGAAUUUUAAAGGUUUAGGGGUUAACUGAAAGGAUGAUGGUGAUGAGUUUUGAAGGUUUAGGGGUUGACUGAAAAGAUUGUGGUCAUGAAUUUUAAAGGAUUAGGGGUUGACUGAAAGGAUGGUGGUCAUGAAUUUUGAAGGUUUUGGGGUUGACUGAAAGGAUGGUGGUCAUGAAUUUUGAAGGUUUAGGGGUUGACCGAAAGGAUGAUGGUCAUGAAUUUUGAAGGUUUAGGGGUUGACUGAAAGGAUGAUGGUCAUGAAUUGUGAAGGAUAAGGGUUGACUGAAAGGAUUGUGGUCAUGAAUUUUGAAGGAUUAGGUAUUGACUGAAAGGAUGGAGGUCAUGAAUUUUGAAGGAAUAGGGGUUACUGAAAGGAUGAUGGUCAUGCAUUUUGAAGAUUUAGAGUUUGACUGAAAGGAUGGUGGUCAUGAAUUUUGAAGGUUUAGGGGUUGACUGAAAGGAUGAUGGUCAUGAAUUUUGAAGGUUUAGGGGUUGACUGAAAGGAUUGUGGUCAUAAAUUUUGAAGGAAUCUAGGUAUUGACUGAAAGAUUGGUGGUCAUGAAUUUUGAAGGUUUAGGGGUUGACUGAAAGUAUUGUGGUCAUGAAUUUUGAAGGAUUAGGUAUUGACUGAAAGGAUGGAGGUCAUGAAUUUUGAAGGAUUAGGUAUUGACUGAAGGAAUGGUAGUCAUGAAUUUUGAAAAGAUGGGGUUUAUAUCUAGUAAUAAGGCAUUUUAAUUGUUAAACAUGGUGUUAAAACCACAGCCCACAGACAGACCAUCAUGGAUAGAAUAAGUUUACUAUUGUUCAGCUUACUAAAAGUGUACAAACACCAGAAGUAUGUAUGUAUUUACAUGCAUGGUAUCAAAAUAACAACCCAUUCAAGUUAGAUGUUUACAUUAUGUCAGGAUUAAUUUAGGUAAAUUGCUCCCUUUAAACAGUGAUUAUUUUACAAUUGGUUAAUAGACGGAUAUAUUAUGCUUGCAUGAGAGUUUAUUUAGUACAAUUUACUACAUUAAAUAGGUGAUAGGUAUAGAACAAAUUGACCUAAAUCAUCACAAAUUUCCUGGAAUAUGACCUGCAAGUUGUUGACAAAAAGAUUAUGAUUAUAUUUAUUUUUUUAAUUUUUAAU